rnacentral:snRNA from 1 species
AUCUUUGCGCUUGGGGCAAUGACGCAGCUAGUGAGGUUAUAACGAGGUGCGUCAAUUGCUGGUUGAAAACUAUUUUCAAACCCCCUCUUUGGCCCUUCGGGGCCACUGAGAAUUUUUGGAAGGAAUUUUU